rnacentral:lncRNA from 1 species
AGUGCCAUAAUUUCUGUGAGUUGGUGCCACAAUGGGUAAGGCCAGGGCAAUGUGAAUGUGCUAUCCAUGGUUCUUGAUGACAGCUAGAUUGCAUAAUCAAACAUCUAUAUUACACUAAGGAUGCAUCAUUCUUAUUCAUAGUGUACUUUUUUCUUUUUUAAUUUUUAUUUUCUUGAUUUUUGGGAAGAUUAUGCUUUUAUUAUUUUUUUCCAUUUUAGAAAUUACUUUUCUUUUUUUACUUUCUGUGUGUGUGUGUUUGGGGGGGUGGUGUGAUAAAGCUUAGAUGGCAUGAAGAUGGAGGCCAGAGUGGGUUUUCUUUUCUCCUAUCAUGUGGGCUCUCCAGGCUUGAAACCUCCAGGUUCCUGCCUUGACUUCCUGCAAGAGUGACUGACCUCAGUGAUGAACUGUUACCUGAAGUCCUGACCCUUACAGAGUGAGGAAACUGCCAGGAGAGGCAAGACCAUCUGGAGCUGCAGACAUUGAAGUGUUGGCCCACACACAUCACCGGGUGACAAAGAGACCCCACCUGAACCAACUGAAAGAAGACAUGGACAGAAGACUGAAUAAGAACACAAUCAACAACAGAAAGACCAAUAUGAGACCACAACAGCAAGAUCUGAAAAGCCCAAUAAGGAGGAUGAAGAAGAGAUAGACCUCAAAAAUUAUCUUAGGAAGAUGAUAGAGACCUUUAAAGAGGAAACAAGAAAAUCCUUUAAAGAAAUAGAAAAAAAAAACAAGCAAAAAAUUACAUGAAGUGGAGGAAAAGGCAAACCAAAAAUUUCAAAAAAUAAACAAAUCUCUUAAAGACUCUAAAGAAAGCCAAG